UUAGUGAAAAGAAAAGCGAGAAAAACUUGCACAAACCCAAACGAAUUUCGACGCCAACUUCGUAUUAUGCCAAUCAAUCAAACUGCAUUUUAAUUUAAACCACAAAAAUGCUAUCAAAAGCCCGAAGUAUAAUCAAAACAAAUAACAAAUAAACGCGACUCCGCCCUGCCACGCCCUCGUAUUUUGGAAGUUCCAGUCCGGGCUCCUGUUCUCCAACCUUCCAGCUUCCAGCUAAAAACAGCUGCACUGCUCCAUUCCCCCACGAUGAGAUAAAAACCAAACGCAGUCGCCCAAUGCAUACAAAUGAGCGGAGGAGCCCUGGAGUCACGUAGCCAGGACGAAAGAGCUAGCAAGGUCUCCCCAUCCAACGAAGCGGCGAGGAGCGGUGACUCUAAUUAAGACAGGCCUGGUCUGGGCCAAAAUUAAUGGAACCCACGAGUGGCGAAGCGUUUUCGGUGUUCACGCAAAUUAAAUUCCAUCAAGUUUAUUUGCUGUAAAUGAGGCAGUGGCAGAAGGAGGAGGAUGUACUGGUCUUAAUUCAAUUUCCCCACCCUUAACCCUUUGUGUCCCUUAGCACGUGUUGCCAUUUACCAUUUAGAAGCGAAGGCAUAGGCCUGAAAACAAGUACACUUAAACACACAGAUGCUAAAUCUAAUUCGUUCGAUUUGAAUUCGUUAGAUUUUUCAUGUAAAUAGUCAUUAUAAUUAUUAUUGUGGUCUACAUUGAGUUGUGUCUUGAGCAAUAUCAGUGGUAAAGCUUGAGAAACACGAAAUUGUAAACAUAAAUCUAAUAUUUAUUAUGAAAGUUCAUAUUUGUGCAUCUUGCAAAUGCUAUUAUUAUAAAAUUAAAAUAAAUAAGACGAUUGAAAAGAGGGAAAAUCUAUUAAUUAGUAACUAUUAUAAUGUGAUGUUAUAUAUAUAAAUCAAUCGACAAACAUGGAAACUAAAGAAAACUAAACAUAAAAAAAUGAUAUAUACAAAAUGUUUAACCAACGUAACAAAUUUCACUAAGUAGAUUUUUCGAAUUAAAUUUAAAUAAUAACUAAAAGUAUGGCAAAAUUCAGAAAAUCAAACAUUUUGCUGUUUACACGAGAUAAAAUUGCGUUUUUCUACUAAAAAUAAAUAUGUAAAAUGAUUUUCAAAUCUAGAUUACCCCAUUUACCUUACAAUAUAACAAAACAAAUUAUACAGAUAUAAAAUACAAAUUCUAUGUAAAUGUUGUGCGUAUAUAAAAGCAGAAACGUAGAAUCCCACAUUUCGAGAUCUUUUUGGUUAUUUGUUAUGUGUGUGCUAUAUCUUCUUCUAUGUAAACAUAUAAAUAACGCGUGGCUUCGUCUAGCAAACAUUUUGGGCCUUAAACCAACCUACUCAAGCCGGGGCCUUGGUGUUCUUCUUAUUACCCAGCAUUCUUCAGAUCAAUAUAUUUAUAUACCCCUGGGGAGGGGAGCAACCCACACACUAAUGGUUAUUCUCCAUCUACGUGAAUGUGUUCGUUUCUAAACUUGUAUAAAAGCACGCACCCCUCUCCGCUUAGACACAAAAUGUUUGUAAGAUAUUGACAGAGAAAACGAAAUUAUAUAAUAAUAUAAAUAAUAUUUCCGGGAGUAAAGGAAGAAGACAUUUUAGUUUUUCUACUUGAAUCGCAUUUCUUCCACUUCUCACCAAUCAAAUCAAAUGUAAAUGAGAAAUUUAAUACGAAGAAUUGAACUUUGAGUCUCUUCAAUCCUCAAGCUCAAAACAAACCCAAAAAAAUGCAAAUAAACUAAUUUUAAUUAAGUUUUUAGGUUCCAUUAUUUAGUUGUCUUGUUAUUUAUAUGUUUAGCUUUAGUUUUUGUCUAAUUUAUUUAUAAGUUUUGGCUCCGCAAUAAAUACAGACAUUUAUAUA